GACGAACGCUGGCGGCGUGCUUAACACAUGCAAGUCGAACGGAAAGGCCCUGCUUUUGUCGGGUGCUCGCGUGGCGAACGGGUGUGUAACACGUGAGUCACCUUCCCUUGACGUUGGAAUAACUUCAGGAAACUGCUGCUACUACCUGCUAGGUGCUGCUGCUGCAUGGUGGUGGUUGGACAGUUUCGGCGGUUGGGGGUGGACUCGCGGCUUAUUAGCUGGUGGGUGGGGUAGUUGCUUAGCCAGGCUUUGACGGGUAGCCGGCCUGAGAGGGUGACCAGCGACAUUGGGCCUGAGAUACGGACCAGAGGCCUACGGGGGGCAGCAGGCGGGAGUAUGGUACAAUGAGGGGAAGCCUGAGGAAGCAACCCCGCGUGCGGGAUGAAGGCCUUGGUGUGGGAAACCGCAGUCGCUUGAGACGAAGCGGGAGUGACGGUAAUGGGUAAAGAAGCACCGGCUAACUACGUG
rnacentral:rRNA from 1 species